CCCCAUGUUAUGGGUUUGUCAAGAUUCAGCAUAAUAACUCAUUAGUUAAUUUUAAUAGGUAGAAAUGCACAUGGCAUUUGGCUAUCUCCAUAAACCCAAGAUAAAUAUGGAUCCAUUUAUGCUUGCACUCUAAAAGAAUAUGGAGCAUCAGCUGUGAACUUUUCUUCUAUUAGACUGAUAGUAUUUCACAUACUAUACUAAAUGAGUGUGAGUCCACUGUUCUGUUCUUUAACCUCUCUCUAGGAAGAAUCCAUGGUCUGUAUUGUUUUGCUGAAAAGGGGAUGUGCUAACUUGUUGAGAUUACACAUGGUAUUUACAUUUGUAUAUGUUUUGUCCAUUUCCAUUUCUUAAAUAAAAUAUCCUUUGUAGAUUUUUAUCACAGUUUACUUCUUCAAAGCAACCUUGGAUGAAAAUUCCAGUUUAGCUGAUAUUGAGGUCGCUCUGAUCCCAAUCUUGGCAAGGUCAUGUGAAUAGGUUAGUGCCUUAGUGGAGAUUAUUUGAUAUGACCUUCAAAGUUCAAACAUUUCUUACAGUAAUAAUUGAUAUCUGUUACUCAGAACCACAUUCGAACCUUGUAUAUGACUUAAAGGUUUUUAAUAAAACCAGACUCCACUCCACCAGGUAUGACCGCCCUAAUCCCCGUCCUCACCUUCAUGCCAUCAGUAUUUUCAUGUUAGUACACUAACUGCACCCUCAUGUAGGCUUUAUGUGCGCUCCUGGACAAGCAAUUGCAGUUUGGAAGGAUAAGCAAUUGUGGCCUCAUGUAGGGUUUCUGUCUUCUUAUAUUUAACAACUCUUUCACCGGACGUCUUGAGGUGACUUUAGUUUCUUGUCUUUUAUAUGUAUCCUGACAUAAAACCAGUGCUUAUUUUCUAUUCGUGCAUGUGCAGGUGUUGUACUGUUUCUUAGAAUUUUCCAGCAACUUCGAUGGGAGGAAUUUUGUUUGAGCUUGUGGGCCCAAUUCAUAUCAGUCGCGACCCUAGGACUAUCCCACGGCCUGCGGCGAGCUUGUGGGCCCAAUUCAUAUUAUAAUUAGCCUAUAUUUCAUCAAGAUAUAUUUAUGUGUGCACUAUGUAGUAUGUACUGCUUUGUCAUAUUUGUAUUGCAACUUCCUUUUCAGUAUAUUAUGUCAAGCACAAUGCUCUACUUUGCUCAAAGAUCUGUUCUAUUGAGCAAGACUUUGCUUUGUUUUGUACUUAGUCAUAUCCUAUCACCUGAAGUAGUUUCUCUCCUGUUAG
rnacentral:lncRNA from 1 species